GUGGCUUCUUCUCGCCCAACGAGCUGACACCCACUUUUCUUCUUUGCGCAGGCCUAUGCCGCCAGGAGUCAUCGUUGCACCUCCCAGCAUCCUCGCCUCGACCUCCUCUUUGAUCUAGAACAUCAGCGACUAGGUGAGUCCAGCCCGCCAUUCCCAUCUCCUUUUCCCUAAACCAAAUCAGUUCAUGGCGAACCCUAGGGCGGUAGGCGACUAUGCGGCGAGACUGAGGCGGACAACGGUAGCCGCAGCCAGUGCAUGAUUACUGACACUAUCAUGGUUAGAAAGAUUAUCCAAAACCCCAGAGGACGUAGAGUUUGGAUUGGAUAUCCGUUUCUCUGAACCCAAUGCCUUUCAAAGACGGAAGAGUUUGGGGUGGAUGAACAUAGAGAGGGAAUCAAGAUUGAUAGAAGAUGAGCACAAGGUGGCCGCAUGGGUCGUGCUCCUAUUUUGCCCGUGGUGCGUCGCGGUCAAUACUCCUCAAGGAUCUUUUGGUGGUAUGGUGCCAUCGACGGCAUGGUUCUGUUAACUUAUUUAGGUAACCAGUUAGGCUUUUCUUCUCAAUUUCCUUUUCAGAAGGACAUGGGGUUCGGACGCAAGGGUAAGCAUUGCUUUUGCAUCCCCAGAAAGAUGGAUCUAUUUGCCUUGACGAGAGGAUGUCACGGGGCAGAUCCUUCAUGGAGUGUGUCUGCCAUCUAUCUUUGCGCAGUUCCUGAUGUGACACAAGCACCGCAGAACACUGAAUCUACAUUUCUUCAAUUAUGAUGGUAUCAUGACAAAUGAGACUGAGUGAUCGCCACCAAAGACAACAUUCGCUGUUUUUUUCGAGGUUGCAGUCAAUUGCUCUACCACUGAGCUAUGGACCCAACAUUGGUCGAUCCAUGCGUCUAUAGGUUACUGAAUAUAAUGCUGAUGGACUCCACUUGGACUAUUGCUUGAUUUGCAGUGUCAUUUCUCCCAAGGCACAAAUCUUCACUGAGCUAAUUUCUACAAACUUUACAGGACGAGGUCAUGUUUAUAUAUGAUAAAAAAGCCUACAGAGGUGCUGAGAGAGGCUGUCGUGGAUCGCCGACCGGCUGUUGAGCAUGACUCUGAAAAUUCUUGAGAGGUAUAUCCUUUCUUUCAUUCCUACAUUCUACACUUUAAAGAGCUUAGAUUCAGACAUUGUUUGUCCCAUUCACAUCAGGACACCUCUAUAAGGGAGUCUUUGGUGAUUACCGUUGAUUGUCUAUAAGACAUUCCAAUUAGUAAAAGGCAAGUUAGUACCUACAUAUAAAUGAAUUCAGCUGGGUAACCCAUUGUCCAUAAGUUGUUUAUUAUCCUGAAGAAUAAGUUAACAUGUGCUGUUAGAUAUCAA